UACGUAGGGUGCGAGCGUUAAUCGGAAUUACUGGGCGUAAAGCGUGCGCAGGCGGCUUCGCAAGUCAGACGUGAAAUCCCCGGGCUUAACCUGGGAAUGGCAUUUGGGACUGCAAGGCUGGAGUGUGGCAGAGGAGACUGGAAUUCCUGGUGUAGCGGUGAAAUGCGCAGAUAUCAGGAGGAACACCGGUGGCGAAGGCGGGUCUCUGGGCCGAUACUGACGCUGAGGAGCGAAAGCGUGGGGAGCGAACAGG
rnacentral:rRNA from 1 species